AUGAUCUGCUGCUGCAACAAGAUGGACGCCACCACUCCCAAGUACUCGAAGGCCCGUUAUGAGGAAGUUGUUAAGGAAGUCUCUUCAUACCUGAAGAAGGUCGGCUACAAUCCUGACAAGGUUCGCUUCGUCCCCAUCUCUGGGUUUGAGGGUGACAACAUGAUUGAGAGGUCCACCAACCUUGACUGGUACCAGGGCCCUACCCUGCUUGAGGCACUUGAUCAGAUCAAUGAGCCCAAGAGGCCCUCAGACAAGCCAUUGCGUCUUCCCCUUCAGGAUGUUUACAAGAUUGGUGGCAUUGGAACUGUGCCCGUUGGCCGUGUUGAGACUGGUGUCAUCAAGCCUGGUAUGGUUGUUACCUUUGGUCCCACUGGUCUGACAACUGAGGUCAAGUCUGUUGAGAUGCACCACGAGUCUCUCCUGGAGGCGCUUCCUGGUGACAAUGUCGGCUUCAAUAUCAAGAAUGUUGCUGUGAAGGACCUGAGGCGUGGGUUUGUUGCAUCCAACUCCAAGGAUGACCCUGCCAUGGAGGCAGCCAACUUCACCUCCCAGGUAAUCAUCAUGAACCACCCUGGUCAGAUUUGCAACGGCUACGCCCCAGUGCUGGAUUGCCACACCUCCCACAUUGCUGUCAAGUUUGCUGAGCUGGUGACCAAGAUCGACAGGCGAUCUGGUAAGGAGCUGGAGGCGCUGCCCAAGUUUCUGCAGAAGGGGGAUGCCGGUAUUGUGAAGAUGAUUCCCACCAAGCCAUGGUUGUGGAGACCUUCGCCACCUACCCUCCGCUUGGUCGUUUUGCUGUGCGUGACAUGA
rnacentral:rRNA from 1 species